rnacentral:rRNA from 1 species
UACGUAGGGUGCAAGCGUUAUCCGGAAUUAUUGGGCGUAAAGAGCUCGUAGGCGGUUUGUCGCGUCUGCCGUGAAAGUCCGGGGCUCAACCCCGGAUCUGCGGUGGGUACGGGCAGACUAGAGUGCAGUAGGGGAGACUGGAAUUCCUGGUGUAGCGGUGAAAUGCGCAGAUAUCAGGAGGAACACCGAUGGCGAAGGCAGGUCUCUGGGCUGUAACUGACGCUGAGGAGCGAAAGCAUGGGGAGCGAACAGG